CGUCUCUAUUAUGACCAACCCUAAGUAAGGGCCAUCGGCAGGCUGGAUGUGGCCACUGCCGGCGCAGCUGCUCUCAGAGGCCGGAAGGCAGGGGCCGUCGGCCGCCACCGGGAGGGCGGACGAGGCGGAGAAAUUCAAGCCAUGAUUUCUUCCCCUUUGUUGUGCUGUUUUGGAGCACUGCUAUUCCUACCCAAGGCUGCUUGGGAGUCAUCUGGCGCUCAAGCCGCUCUGUCUUUACCAGGCAGAGGAGAGAAACGAUGCUGAGUAUAUUUCCAGUUCUUUGCAUGUUGGGCUUCUAGCUCCCACACCACCGACUUGUUUCUCCUGCUUUGCCCUGGAUGGAAUUAAAAGAGUGAGCAGGUAGUCAACUUGACUGAACUCAAACUCCAUACUCAAUUUCCCCUGCACUCCGAGCCAUCAUUUAAGAAGUCUGAUCACCCUACUAGAGAGACCACAUGGAGAAAUUGUGAGACGACAUGGAGAGAGAGAGAGAAGCCCGGCUGCACCCAGGGUUCCAGAAAUCCCCACCAAGAUGCCAAGCAUAAAGGAAACCAGAACCAUCUUGGCUCCACCAGAUCAGCCUAGCCGCCAGCUGGAUGCCACUGAGUGACUCCAGUAGAUGCCACAUGGGGCAGAAAAACUGUCCAGUAAGCCUUGCCCAAAUUUCUCACCCACCCAUUCAUGACAAUAAUAAAAUGAUUAUUGUUUUCAGUCCCAA